rnacentral:rRNA from 1 species
AUGACUAGGGAUAACCUUAGGAAGAGACACAUCAUCAAACCCCUUGAUUGUGUUUACUGCUUGGAACAAGAGUCUUGUUCUCACCUAUUUUUUGAAUGUAUAGUUGCUAAACAUCUCUGGGCCCACAUUGAGGAAUAUUUCUCUAGUCAGAUUGGCUCAUCCUUCGAAUUUGUCGCCAGAUUCUGGAUUGCUACCAAAAAGUGCCCAGUUUUAAACACUGUUAGCUCAGCUGUCCUUUGGUGCCUCUGGAAAUAUAGAAAUGCUAUGAUUUUCAGUAACACUUCCUGGAUUUCCAUUCCGUAGGUCUUGAGGUUGAUCAGGAACAUGGUGAGGAACUGGGCGAUUCUCUCCUCCGGAUCGGACAAGGACAAGUUGAUGAGCUUCCUGGAAACCCUAACAAGAUCCCUCCAGAAACCGUUGGCGAUCACUUGUGGCUGA